rnacentral:rRNA from 1 species
GUUGCUGGCCCUCUAAUGGGGGCAUGUGCACACUCUGUUUACACAUCCACUCACACCUGUGCACUCUCUGUAGUACUGCGGUCUGGGGGUUCUGUCCUCUUACUGUGGUUCUGCGUAUUUACACACACACACCGUAAUAAAGUCUCAUGGAAUGUAUGCCGCGUUUAACGCAAUGAAAUACAACUUUCAGCAACGGAUCUCUUGGCUCUCGCAUCGAUGAAGAACGCAGCGAAAUGCGAUAAGUAAUGUGAAUUGCAGAAUUCAGUGAAUCAUCGAAUCUUUGAACGCACCUUGCGCCCUUUGGCUAUUCCGAAGGGCAUGCCUGUUUGAGCAUCAUGAACACCUCAACUCUCAUGGCUUGCCAUGAUGAGCUUGGACUUGGGGGUUUUGCUGGCCUGCGGUCAGCUCCCCUCAAAUGAAUCAGCUUUCCAGUGUUUGGUGGCACCACAGGUGUGAUAAACAUCUACGCGUGUGGUUCUCCAUCAUGGUAACCUUCAGUGAUGGAGGUUCGCUGGAGCUCAUAAAUGUCUUUCCUCAGCGAAGACAGUUCUUUGAUUGUUUGAUCUCAAAUCAGGUAGGACUACCCGCUGAACUUAAG